CAAAGAUGUCCAGGAGUUGAGAUGUCUGACCUUUUAACAACCACAGUCAUCUUCCACUGUGUCAGGAUGUGAAGGGACGUUUAGUUAUGGGAUUGGAGGAAAUGGCCGAGGCAGUGAACAGGUAUUUUGCGUUGGUCUUCACAGCAGAGGACACGAAUAACAUGCCAGUAAUUGACAAAGAGACCAAGAUGCCAGUGUCAUAACUGUACUGGAAGAGCUUGGCUAGAGGAGCAGCACAUCUUCAACACUAUUGGCAGAAUGUUGUCAGGGCCCAUGGCCUCUGCAAUAUUCAGUACCUCCAACUAUUUGUUAGUAUCACAUGAACUGAAUCAAAUUGGCUAAAGACUGGAUUCUGUGAUGCUGAGGGCCACUGAAGG